rnacentral:lncRNA from 1 species
UGCUUCCAAUGAAAUGCACGAAGCAAUGACUGCAUAAUGCAUUCUUUGUUUUAAAAACAAAACUGUGCAAUAAAAAUUGCACAAAACUUGUUCGAUAUCUAAUCUACCUUUGGUGGCUUCAGCUUACCUGACAGUUCAUUUAUGUAUCCACAUUGCUAGGAAGCAUAUCAUCCGUCUAAUCCAAACAUAAACUAUUCUCGUUGUUGAAACUGGUGACGCACAAGCUGACGUAACGUUAGUGGAGACUUCAUCUCAAAAAACAGCCUGCAUGGGCUAAAAUCCCGGGGGGCGCGUAUGGCUCGUAUCAUUUGCGAGGCACGCGACGGGAGCCUUGAGGAGCUUUCCAUGCUAGAGCGCCUCUAAACCCAGGUCUCACUUGGAGAUCGAUCUCACUCGGAGAUCAUGAGUCUGUUGUAGAGUGGCGUCAUUUUACGUCCAGUCCACCGAACCAGUGUGCACAAUUGCUGGCGGUGGAUACCAGACUCCCCCCACGGGUCGUCAUGUGCGAGGCAAGGUCGGGGAUAAGAUAUCACGGCAGCAAUUGAAGAUAAAAUUGAGUUUAUUCAUGUAAAUGCUAUUAGGCUGCUACAUUUGCACAAUGAGUGAGUGCAAAGCUUCUCUUUAAUUGAUAUUUAUCAUUAUCCAAGCAGACUAUUGCCUGAUACGUCUGAGUCUACAUUCACUUCAUCCAGGAAAAUGCUUCAAAAUCGCGUUUUUCGUCGGUAAAUAGCAUUGCAACCUUGCGUCAGUUGACACAAGCUUUCACUGCCGCAUCCGGAAUCUCAGUGCAUAGGUGUCUAUGCAUCAUGAGCUUAGGUAUUGUUUCCUUUUUCGUUAGAUCAUGCUUCAACUUAUAGCGCUUAAUCGUUCAUGCCAAACAAAGUUUGCGGACUUGUGAUAUAUUUCCUUCAACAAAUGUCCGUCAAAUGAGGCUACAAAUGAGCUGCUUUCUUCUGCCAAUUAUGUUACUAUAGCACGUUGCUAAUGGAAGGUGGUUAUGAAUAAGACUAUUUGCAGUUGUGCCUCAUCAUCACUUAUUUGCCAAAUGCAAUUUCAAUUGCUGCUGUUAUCCCCGGCUAUAGUGUCUACGGUGGCGAGCUUUCUCCGCGGACCUUCAACUUCAAGACCUUCUACUUCAAGACCUUCAAUUUCUAGACAACUAAAGGGAUAUUCUCGUCAUACUGUACUCUCGAUGACCUGCAUGUCGGGCGUGCCAUGUCCUGAGGAGCGUUGUUUUCAAUACCCUCAGUGCACAUACUGCACCAGACUAUAUUUACGGACGUUGACUGUUUGCUUUAGGCACUGUUUCAAGCAUUGUACGAUGGCCGAAAACAAUAGUAUUUGGUAACGUUUUCAAGUGCCAUUUGGAGUAUCCGAAACUACGACGCAAUGUUAGUCGGAAAUAACGUAUCUAGUUAAUCAUGUUAUCGCAUGAUGUUCUUGUUCAUUGGCAAACAUUAUUUCAGCAGUCGAUACGUCCUCCAAACUUCAGUAACCGUUACUAUAUAGUCCCCGUUCGUCACAAACAACCGUUGACAUUUCGUCAACCUCAAAUUCGAAUAUAUUAACCGUUUACACGCACGAGAAUAUCCCUUUAUCCAAACUAGCAAGUGUGUCUACUGUUUUCUUACUAGGCAAACAAAAGUUUGUCACAGCAUGUGCGCAGUUCACUUUACCUAUGUGCAUUCAUACUAAAAGCCAUUCGUCCACAAGCAAGUUAUUUGCGCAAUUGACGUAAGCUUUCAUGAAGGCCAAACCAAUGCUGAUUCGUCAAUGCUGAUUGUCAGCUUGAAAGUAAAGAUGAGCAAAGUGGUUCAACUGAAUCUUAUGGUUGCAGUAGGGCAUAUUAGAAGUAAGUAAGUGACAAGUAUGUGUCAGCAAUUGCUUAUGCUUCUUAACCCUAGAUACUUUUGAUUCAAUCCUUUUGGUGAUGACGUAAUGUGGCAGAAAACAGUAGACACGCUUCAUCUUAUCGGAAACCCUGAAUGAUUGGUAUUUGUGAGCAUGUGUGCCUGUGAGUGUGUAAGGGUGGAUGUGGGUGUGUGGGUAUGUAUGUGCGUAUGUGAGGGUGUGCGUGUCAUCUUACAAGUAAUUUAGUGAAUGAGUGCAUAGGUACUAGUUUUCAAGUAAAUACGUGCAUGAGUGCAUGUAGUCAGUGGUGUAUGGAACUCGCAUUGUGCCUGCCUGCUGCCAACGAAAUAUGCAAGCCCACACAGAGAAAACAGUUUUGUUGUGCGAAACUUCAUGCUGCUGGCAGGGUUUACAUGCAAGUCACAUAUUGCAGGUCUACCAUAAGCAGAGCAAUGUGACAUCUGAUAAGUAACUCACAGCAACACAUACUCUGCAUGUCCAGGGAAAGUGAGUUGUGCUCGGAACACAUUGGCCAGACAGUUUUGUCCUAUCAAAUUCAGAAUUGUUUUAUCCUCCUCACAGUUGUCAUUAACACUUCAUGAGCACACAUUAUUGCUAGAUCUGAAUGCCAGCUGCCUAUUGCACUGCUGGCACGUAGUUGGAGACAAAGGUGCCGCCAGUUUUCCACCUCGCUGCUGAUACAAUGCAAUACUGCUACAAAAUGUCCGUGUUCUGUGUUUUUAGUGUUGUAUGUUUGUAUAUGUGUCUUGCGUCGUAUGCGCAUUACCUACAUAAGUUUUAAGUGUUCCCGCGAAAGUAGGUACUGAAUUAGCUCAAGCCAGGAUUGCGUUGCGGAGAUAUUUGUAGCCCAUACAAUGUUUUAUGGCGUCAUUUACGACACUUUCUGUUUUUUCUUGUCAUUGUAUGCACGUGAGUUGUGCCGCAUGUUGCGCUUGCAAAUCAUGUUCUCAAUGCCAUUUUCUUUUGAUACAAUUGGUCACCACUACACAUCACUCGCAUACACUCGCCCAAGCAAGUCGGAUAUCAAUCACUGUCCAGAAGUGCAUGAUGCAUUCAACCACGCAUAGAACACUGGCACACCAAGAACAUGAACUCACGCAAAAACGAGAGGACUAUUACACGACUUCGCAUUGGACACACCGCUAUCACACACAACUACAUCAUCACAAGAAGCCCGAGACCGAAAUGCAACACCUGCAACACUUUCAUCACUGUCAAACAUCUGCUACUCACAUGCCCACAAUACCAACACCACAGGACAAACAUACAAACAUACUGCAGAGACGCCAACAUCCCACUAACACUCACAACACUGCUCGGGGACUUACACCCCGAGCUAACAACACUACUCAUCCACUAAAGACACAACACUGGGCUGAUAAAUGACCUGUAAAUCUCCUCCCCUAGAGCCAAGGACAAAAAAGCCAAAAAAAAAAGCCAAAAAAGAAGCCAAAAAGAAAAAAACAACAUUCAAAACAAUAAGAAUCAAAAUAAAAGACCCCAGAAUGGCAAAAUGGCAAAAAAAAAAACAAAAAACGAAAAAAAAAAACAAUAGAAGGGGCAAUCCGGCUAACCGGGAGGAGAUAGCUAGGAACCCUGACCCACCUCUCAGCCCACCCUUACGAGCCAAGAAGACGACGGACACUUCAAGACAAUGGACGGACCAACAACGAAGACGGACGACAGAACCGGGCCCAAAUACAGAACGCUGUGGUGGCCCGUAAGCCACAAAUACCAUACCAUACCAUACCAGUGCAUCAUGCAGCAGAAGAAGCUUCAUUGAACACACUCGUCAUCAUGAACGGCAUCUUAGGAGCUUCAUGAGUUUGGAUCUGUGACCAGUUGUUUUCGCAGUAUCCAAUAGCAACCGUGUAUGACCAGGCGCCGCUUGGACGCCUUGUCCAGCCACGUCUUCCGGGACUGUGUGAUGACUGCCUCUGCAAUCUCAAGUGCCAGUUUCUGCCUCCGGCCUAUUUCUUUAUCAAAGGAUGUUGGUAACUGAACGACCAGCUCUGCUCCAAGAUUCCAAAUCGUUUUACGGUAUUUUAUCCCUACAAAACGUUAAUAUUUGCUGGACGCGUUGAUGCCCGAAUAGGAUGACCUUUAUUCCUAGAUACAGGCAUUCAACGUUGAAUCAAUUACGCUUCUAGCCUUCUGUUUAUUGGCUUUACAUACUUUUUAUUAAUAUUUAUCAUGUGUCUAGCCUGCAAUUCAUUUUACUCACCACCAUCGGACGUCACAACUAUAAGCUUAUAACUACUAUAUACAACUAUAAGCUAUAAGCAGCUAUUCGCUGACUUGACAUAUGAUAUUUUCGCGACGACUCGUUUCGCCCUUCCGCCAUGUUAACUAAUCAUCCGUUACAUCUUUAUGUCAACAGGUAUAGUACAAGUCAUCCUUACCGUCGAUACCGUAGAAGAAUUUGCCGUCGACCACGGAACACAUAUUGUGCUUCCCGUUGCUGGCUGAUUUCGCAGUAUCCAAUGGCAACCGUGUAUGACCAGGCGCCGCUUGGACGCCUUGUCCAGUCACGUCUUCUGGGACUGUGUGAUGACUGCCUCUGCACUCUCAAGUGCCAGUUUCUGCCUCCGGCCUAUUUCAUUAUCAAAGGAUGCUGUUAGCUGAACGAACAGCUCUGCUCCAAGAUUCCAAACGUUUUUACGGUAUUGUAUGCCUACAAAACGUUAGUAUUUUUUGAAGGCGGUAAUACUCGGAUGAACUGACCUAUAUGGGUGGGUAUUCAACGUUGAAUCAAGUAGGCUUGUAGCCCUCUGCCUAUUGACUUCUAAGGGUUUUAGUAAAAUUUAUAUAAUAUCUCAUCUGAUCAGCAUUUUCACUCUCAGUCGUCGAAAUUGAAAAAUCAUAAGCUUAGAAAUCCGCGGACUUGACAUAUUAUAUUUUCUCGACGAUUCGUUUCGACUUGCCGUCAUGUCAGCUAAUCAUCCGCUGCUUCUCCUAUUUUCACAGGUGAAUUACCAGUCGUCUUUACCGUCGAUACCGUUGAAGAUUUUACCGUCGAUCAGGGAGCACCCAUUGCGCUGGCCGUUGCUGGCACUUUUUUAUUUGUCACUAGCUAUUAGUUAUCUGCAGAUAUACAUUAGCCACCUGUGCACCCGCUUACACAAGCUCUCAGCAUCUAGUUCUACGUAUGUGUGUGUUUGUUUUAAUUGAAUUGCCAAUGAAUUCGGUAGACAUGCUCCGCCCGCAAACAUGUACCACAUGAUGCAGUCCACUGAAUGUAGCAGUUAAUCUCUCGUAAAAAGCAGUCAUGUUUUCGUAUAGUGUAGGUUUGCAUCUAUGUAAGCAUGUGUUCACACUCAUGAGCGAUCCACACAUGAUAUUGCAUUUCCUGUUCAGUUACAUUUUUUAACACGAUGCUCAUACACUGCGUUGUUAUCUUUCUUUUUUUUCGCCUGCUCCUUCCUCCAACUUGUGUCUUUGAGUAUUUCAGUCACAUGCUCAAACGUUCUUAAAUGCUCUCGCCAUCGGUUUACGCAUGCGUUGAAAACGGACACGUGUUGACCAAAUUUAACAAUAUGCGGACAAUGGAUCGACUUCUUGAAGCCUGUGGACGUGAUAAACCUUCUCCAUCACCAUCAAGAGAUCAACAUUUUCGAAGACACUUGCGUACGGCUGGCUUCGGCUGCAGCACAAGCCACAUUCAUCGGCCCAAUCAUCAGUUAUUCAUCCUGCAAGUUUUAAGUCACUUCGUUGUGACCCGGACAUCGUCAUCUUUCAACGACUUCAAAUGACUAUUUCAUUCAUCAUCGUCGAUCAGACUCAUCAUGUAAAGACACUUCCAUAAUGCUAUCUGCCAUCUACGUUUGUGCAGGAAGCAAAUAUCAGGUUGUUAUUAGCUGCAGGCUACUCAGUACCGACUGAACUACUGGCAGUAGUGUGCGAGCACCUAAUACUUGUAUUGUGAUACCAAAGUAAAACGGAUGAUAGCUUAGCGCAUAGCGCCCUACCGCUUUCCACACACACAUAAACAAAACUUGACUUUGGGCAUUAGCACGAUGGCAAGAUUAACAGGCAGUUUCGCUGUUUUUCACUGCUUUCAUUGGCAGGUGUUACUGCUCAUUCCCGUUUCAUGUGAUGUUAGAACAGCCUUCACCAUAGUCCUGUUUUCUCCUUUGCCGUUUUCCAUAGACAUCCGAUGCGACAUGCACUCCAACGAUCGGUCAGGCGCAUCACCGUCAAUCCGGUCGCCUGUUAAUCAGUUCGUAAUCACCGUCAGUCUUCGACAUCUGUCAACACACUUGUUCACAUUAUCGCCUUACUUUUGAUCUUAUCAAUAUGCAAGAAUGAGUGCAAAAUGCAUUGCAAUAUUGCAUCAGUUGAUGUUGUAUCGCAAUGACACCGCGUCCUCACCUCACAUCUGUUGUGCAUACUUGAUCACGAAUGCCAGUUAUACGCAGAUUCACAUGGUGAAGUUUUACUCCGUUGACGUUUUCUUUCCAUUCUUGUAGUCUAUCAAGAGUGGUUACAGUUGCAUAUGCGGCCUUACACAUGCGUCCUUACAUGCUAGCUGAUUGAUAUGUUGGACACAUUGGUUCCUGUAACUCCAAGUAGUUCUGCAUUGGUAUUGCUUCACUUUAUAUGUUCUACCCAAAGAUCGUUUCUAGUUUUGUCUUAGCUUGCAGCUGUAUGCCAUGAACAUACAGGGUACUGCGCAUCUUUAUCGUGACAUUCCUGUAGUUUCGUCGCUUUCGCGGAUGAUUAGGACCAUGAGCUCAGUUGCAGAUGCGUCCAGCAGCCACCGACAUUUCUACACUUUAAAUUCCUAGUCUCGGUUCUUAUCCACAUACCAACAUGAUUUGAACAUUUCACACGAUUAGUGAUGAAAUGAACAGGUAUCAUCUACUACAUUAUAUUUUCAUGUAAAGCACACUCCAGUC